AUGGUGUCACUUGAGCUGAGACAGUGCAAAAAUUGGGUGUGCCUUCCAUCUCUUGGAAAUCUACAGCUACUCAAGCAUCUCGAAUUGCAAAACCUUACUGGAUUGAAACAGAUUGGACAAUCAUCUGGUGAUUCCUUGCCUCAAAAUCUGAAAACCCUAGUGGUGGAAGGAUGCCAGGGAUUAAGGAAACUGCCACUUCUACCUCUGACUUUGAUGCAGCUGGAAAUAAAUAAUGUUGGAUUGGACAUCCUCCCGAGAAUUGUUGUCCACCAUGGUAACAUUGGUUCUGAGGCCAUGCCACCCAAGUUAGUAUCAGUCAUCAUCAGCAAUUGUUCAAAUUUGACCAUGUUGGCAGAGAGCUUUCUACUGCAGGAGCACUAUAUCUGCACUCUUCAGAUCCUAAAGAUUGUUGACUGUAAAAGGUUAAUCCAUGCUCCUUUAUCAUUUGGGAGCAUGAAUGAUCUUACGGAAUUUCGUAUUGGGUGCUGUUACUCAUUGAGAAUGACGAUGCCGAAGGUUGAUGGUGGACUACUCCCUUGCACGCUUAAGGAAAUCUCUAUGGUGCAGUGUGGUGACCUCCAACUUCCUUUGCUGAAUUCACUGGUUGGUCUCACUAAUCUUACAUCAUUAAGUUUGUGCAACUGCUCCAGGGUGAAGUCUCUUCCAUCAUCAGAGGUGUUCCGGAGUCUCACGGCACUGCGAGAAAUGGUUGCAAAAGACUGUAUUUUCUUGUCAUCCUUGGGUGGGCUUGGAGCUCUUUCAUAUCUCAGUUGGCUAGAAAUUACAGACUGUGACCAGCUUCAGCUGGCUGCAGAAAUAGGUGAAAUGUAUGGAGAUUCAUUGGUUGGGGUCGCCUUGAAGGACUCCCUCUGGAUCCAUACCACCUUCAUGUUAAAAUGGAGCCACUGA
rnacentral:rRNA from 1 species